rnacentral:rRNA from 1 species
GAUGAACGCUGGCGGCGUGCCUAAUACAUGCAAGUCGAGCGAACGGACGAGAAGCUUUCUUCUCUGAUGUUAGCGGCGGACGGGUGAGUAACACGUGUAUAACCUACCUAUAAGACUGGGAUAACUUCGGGAAACCGGAGCUAAUACCGGAUGAUAUUUUGAACCGCAUGGUUCAAAAGUGAAAGACGGUCUUGCUGUCACUUAUAGAUGGAUCCGCGCUGCAUUAGCUAGUUGGUAAGGUAACGGCUUACCAAGGCAACGAUGCAUAGCCGACCUGAGAGGGUGAUCGGCCACACUGGAACUGAGACACGGUCCAGACUCCUACGGGAGGCAGCAGUAGGGAAUCUUCCGCAAUGGGCGAAAGCCUGACGGAGCAACGCCGCGUGAGUGAUGAAGGUCUUCGGAUCGUAAAACUCUGUUAUUAGGGAAGAACAUAUGUGUAAGUAACUGUGCCCAUCUUGACGGUACCUAAUCAGAAAGCCACGGCUAACUACGUG